AACGAACGCUGGCGGCAGGCUUAACACAUGCAAGUCGAACGCCCCGCAAGGGGAGUGGCCGACGGGUGAGUAACGCGUGGGAACAUACCCUUUCCUGCGGAAUAGCUCCGGGAAACUGGAAUUAAUACCGCAUACGCCCUACGGGGGAAAGAUUUAUCGGGGAAGGAUUGGCCCGCGUUGGAUUAGCUAGUUGGUGGGGUAAAGGCCUACCAAGGCGACGAUCCAUAGCUGGUCUGAGAGGAUGAUCAGCCACAUUGGGACUGAGACACGGCCCAAACUCCUACGGGAGGCAGCAGUGGGGAAUAUUGGACAAUGGGCGCAAGCCUGAUCCAGCCAUGCCGCGUGAGUGAUGAAGGCCUUAGGGUUGUAAAGCUCUUUCACCGAUGAAGAUAUUGACGGUAGUCGGAGAAGAAGCCCCGGCUAACUUCGUG
rnacentral:rRNA from 1 species